UACGUAGGGUGCAAGCGUUGUCCGGAAUUAUUGGGCGUAAAGAGCUCGUAGGCGGUCUGUCGCGUCGGCUGUGAAAACUCGGGGCUCAACCCCGAGCCUGCAGUCGAUACGGGCAGACUAGAGUGCUGUAGGGGAGAGUGGAAUUCCCGGUGUAGCGGUGAAAUGCGCAGAUAUCGGGAAGAACACCCGUGGCGAAGGCGGCUCUCUGGGACGGUACUGACGCUGAGACGCGAAAGCGUGGGGAGCGAACAGG
rnacentral:rRNA from 1 species